rnacentral:rRNA from 1 species
GGGUGAGUAAUGCGUCGGAACGUACCGAGUAAUGGGGGAUAACGCAGCGAAAGUUGUGCUAAUACCGCAUACGCCCUGAGGGGGAAAGUGGGGGAUCGUAAGACCUCACGUUAUUCGAGCGGCCGACGUCUGAUUAGCUAGUUGGUGGGGUAAAGGCCUACCAAGGCGACGAUCAGUAGCGGGUCUGAGAGGAUGAUCCGCCACACUGGGACUGAGACACGGCCCAGACUCCUACGGGAGGCAGCAGUGGGGAAUUUUGGACAAUGGGGGCAACCCUGAUCCAGCCAUUCCGCGUGAGUGAAGAAGGCCUUCGGGUUGUAAAGCUCUUUCAGCUGGAGAGAAACGGUGAGCUCUAACAUAGCUUGCUAAUGACGGUACCAGCAGAAGAAGCACCGGCUAACUACGUGCCAGCAGCCGCGGUAAUACGUAGGGUGCGAGCGUUAAUCGGAAUUACUGGGCGUAAAGCGUGCGCAGGCGGAUUGUUAAGCAAGACGUGAAAUCCCCGGGCUUAACCUGGGAAUGGCGUUUUGAACUGGCAGUCUAGAGUGCGUCAGAGGGGGGGUGGAAUUCCACGUGUAGCAGUGAAAUGCGUACAGAUGUGGAGGAACACCGAUGGCUGAAGGCAGCCCCCUGGGGAUGACACUGACGCUCAUGUACCCAAAGCCGUGGGGUAGCAAACAGGGAUGGGAUGACACUGACGCUCAUGUACGAAAGCGUGGGUAGCAAACAGGAUUAGAUACCCUGGUAGUCCACGCCCCUAAAACGAUGUCAACUGGUUGUUGGGGGAGUGAAAUCCCUUAGUAACGAAGCUAACGCGUGAAGUUGACCGCCUGGGGAGUACGGUCGCAAGAUUAAAACUCAAAGGAAUUGACGGGGACCCGCACAAGCGGUGGAUGAUGUGGAUUAAUUCGAUGCAACGCGAAAAACCUUACCUACCCUUGACAUGUCCGGAAUCCUGCAGAGAUGCGGGAGUGCCCGAAAGGGAAUCGGAACACAGGUGCUGCAUGGCUGUCGUCAGCUCGUGUCGUGAGAUGUUGGGUUAAGUCCCGCAACGAGCGCAACCCUUAUCAUUAGUUGCUACGCAAGGGCACUCUAAUGAGACUGCCGGUGACAAACCGGAGGAAGGUGGGGAUGACGUCAAGUCCUCAUGGCCCUUAUGGGUAGGGCUUCACACGUCAUACAAUGGUCGGUACAGAGGGUUGCCAAGCCGCGAGGUGGAGCCAAUCCCAGAAAGCCGAUCGUAGUCCGGAUUGUUCUCUGCAACUCGAGAGCAUGAAGUCGGAAUCGCUAGUAAUCGCGGAUCAGCAUGUCGCGGUGAAUACGUUCCCGGGUCUUGUACACACCGCCCGUCACACCAUGGGAGUGGAAUCUGGCAGAAGUAGGUAGCCUAACCGCAAGGGGGGCGCUUACCACGCUGGGUUUCAUGACUGGGGUG